rnacentral:lncRNA from 1 species
GCUUUGGCCAUUCUGCUUUGCUGUUCAGAGAGAAGCAGCUCUGAACCCUGCGAGCUACAGUGAGCGUUUAUAGCCAGCUGGACAGCAAGCAGCACAUCAACUGAGACAGAGAGUGACACAGCGAGCAGAUCAGAAGAAGAUCAGGAUCAUCAUCAACAACCAGGGACCAGCGAACUUGUUGGAGACCCGAGGAUCAGCGUGGACUCGAAGACCCAGCACCAUGGACUUUGAAUUCCUUGAGUGCAUUGGUCGUGGGGCUUUUGGCCAGGUCUUUAUGGGUCGGAACCGGCGGUCUGAUGAGCUUGUGGCCAUGAAGUCUGUGCGCUUGAUUAAUAGAGAUGAUGUCGACCCCUUGGAGGAGGUACGCCUGCUGAAGGACUGCAACCAGGAAAACCUAAUCAAGUUUCAUGGCGUCUACAGGCUG